UAAUUACCAAGGAGGCUGUAGAAGCCUGGGUAGAAGAAAGGAGAAGGGUUUGGUUUUUUUUCUUGCAUUUCUAGGCUAGUGCAAUCAUUUUGUUCUUUCUCUUUUUCUUCCUUGUUUGGCAUUUAGAACUGGUUGCUAUUUCUCUGAGGUCUUGAAUCUCCUGGGAGCAACAAGAGCCUCUGAAGAAGCAAUAUUUGGAUGGGAAACUUAUGUCCUCCAAGCUGGCGAGUUGCAACACUGACACAGAUUUUUCUUGUCACUGCAAAACUCUCCCUGUUAAAGCACCACGGACAGCUCCGGGCCGCUCAGUGCUGCUGUUCCGUCUCUUGGGUCAACUUGGGUUGUCACCGUCCCCAAAGGAAAGGAAAUAAAAGGAGGGAGAUCCAUGCUCUACCCAUCUCUGUGCCGGCCCCAGCAGUGGGAAUAUUGUCCAGGUCCAACCACAGCCUCCAUUUGUUGCAUUGUUUCUUUACCACUGGGAACCUCAGCGAUGAUAAAUACUUGAAGGAGCUUGGAGUUCUGAUCCGAUCCCGCAGGCUGACCCGUGGUCUACAGAACACCUGA
rnacentral:lncRNA from 1 species